GGAGAGGUGGCCGAGCGGUUGAAGGCGUACGCCUGGAAAGUGUAUGUGCGGGAAACCGUACCGGGGGUUCGAAUCCCCCCCUCUCCGCCA
rnacentral:tRNA from 1 species